AUAAAAAUAAAAUUACAUAAAUAUAUAGUGUGCGGGUAUGAGGUGGGGUGGAUACCAAGGUGCCCAUACCCGUAUCUGUACCCGCUUAUUUUUAUAGGUAAUUACCCGAGUCCAUGCCCGCAUCCAUUUUUGCGGGUUUUUACUCUGUCCGUUGUGGAUAAAUUUGCGGAUGACCAUUGAGGAUAAGUCAAAUUGUCAUCCAUACAUAUCAUUAACAAGUUUGAAGCGAAAUAAAAUGGAGAAUUGGAAGAUCCUACCUAUAGGGUGGAGGCUUACCCUGAGAGUUGUUGAAGGUUGAAGAAGAUGAUGGAAAUAAGAAGAUCAAAGAUGUAUAGCCAGAAAAUGGAAGUGGAACAAUCAUAAAUUAUUAAUGAAGAUGUUGCUCAUCCACUUGAACAAGGGCAAGAAGUUCAACAAAUACAAGGAGAAGGGUUAUCAUCAUUGCCAUCAAAUGCACUAAUAGAGGUGCUAACAAUUUGGCGACUGAUUAUUUAAAUCGAGGCAUGAGUUUUUGGAAUGAUCGUACUUUAUUUAAUGGGGAAUACUAAAUAUGAGAUGUAGUGCUCAUAUAUUGAACUUGAUUGUCAAAGAAGGAAUAAAGGAUAUUGAUUAAACUUUUGAAAACUUUUUAUGAUGUCACAUUUUCUUUUUCUGGGUCAUUGUAUGUUACUGCUAACUCUUUUUUCAAGCGGUUGAUGGAUAUUCAAAAAACGUUGAAUAAAUGGAGGCACAAUAUUAGUGAUCCAAUUUUGAAAACCAUGACUGCAAAUAUGCAAGUGAAGUAUAACAAGUAUUGGGAAAGCAGUGCAAUAAAUUAUCUUCUCUUUGUUGCUAUUUAUCUUGAUCCUCGUUAUAAGCUUGACUAUAUUGAAUUUUAUUUUACACGGAUGUACGGUGUUGAAAUGUCUGAGGAUAUGUUAAAGAAAUUGAAAAAUCUCAUUGCUAAAUUGUUUGAGCACUAUUUAAUUUUGUAUCCUAUUUCUCAUGAUGGUGGUUCCAAUGCCUCGUCUUCAAACG